rnacentral:lncRNA from 1 species
UAAUAUGCAAAGGUAAGAACUGGAAAGGGAUGAGAAAAUGUGAAAAUGGGAGAGGUUUUAGGGCUACUAUUUCACUGGAGGAGGAAGAUGUGGGCUGGCUGGUGGAAGCGCUUGAAGAUUUCUACUGAAGAAAGGGGGAAUCUUACUGGAGAAAGAACAAAAGAGGAAGAAACCACAGACUAUGGAUUGCUUUGGGAUGGAAUAGGUAUGGAAGAUUCUUGGUGCUGUCGGAGGAACGUGGAAGCACAUGAACCGCAUUUUUAUUCCUGAUGGGGACAAGCAGAGUGUUGGUGGAGACUGAUGAAGGCAGUUUUCGAGCUGGC